GUAGACCUUGUACAAUAGAGCUUAUAGGCUAAUGAGAAGACAGGAAGAAACAACAGGAACACAUAUAGCUGGAAUGCAGAUGGGAUCUGUGCUACUUACGCUAGCCAUGGGAUGAUUAGAACAAGAUAAGAGACAUGAGGAAGACUUCUUCAAGGAGGUGCUCAAGCCAUGUUUUGGAAAAGAGAACUCAAGGUCUGGCAGGGAGAAAGGAGCAAGGUCCCCAAGCAUGCUAACCAUGAAGCAGUGAUAUCGCACAGCACCUGCUUCCAGCAGCCCGGAGCCAAGGGGCAAAAUGGAAAGAGUCAGCAUUUCUCUUUUAGGUUCUCUGCCUCUCUAGUGUGUCCUCUUCUCCCUGAAGGCUGUCACAGUUCCUGUGCAGAGAGAGAGGGCACUGCAGCACCCAGGCGCUGACUGCCUUUUGUCAGUCUCAUUUGCAGGCCCCCAGCUGGAGAACCCAGGAGGAAGAGGAAAAAAGUUUUUUCCUCCUCUACACUCCCCAUGCAUGACUAAAGAGUAGGAGGAGUCAGCAAGGCAGACAUAUAUAGUACCCAGGAGGUGGACAAACAACUGCCUUGGUGGAAACUCUGUCCUUUCUGGACUUAUCCUGGUGCCACUGAGACUGUGCAGGUCCCACACUUACAGGGAAAGCAUCACCCGAAAGUGAGAAUGCCUAGAGGCAGGAAUCAUGGAGGCUUCCUUAACCGUCUGUCUGCAACAGCAGGACACCAGCCAUCAGGCCUCCCAGAUAGAGUCAAGGAAUGGAAACUUACCCAGUCACCACAUCUGGGAAACACCAGACCCCUUGCCCAUCAUGAUUGCCUAACUGCUGCCUGUGGAUCAGCUCUUCUUCCUUAUCCCCUCCCUCAUUCCUGUUUUCCCACACUUAGUUGCAUUUCUUCCCUGCUAUAUAGACUCCGAAUUUUAGUCAGCUGAGGAGACAAAUUUGAAACUGAUCUUCCAUUCUCCAUCGCUGCAGCACCUGAAUAAAGCCUUCUUCCCUGGCAA
rnacentral:lncRNA from 1 species